rnacentral:rRNA from 1 species
GAUGAACGCUGGCGGCGUGCCUAAUACAUGCAAGUCGAGCGAACGGACGAGAAGCUUGCUUUUCUGAUGUUAGCGGCGGACGGGUGAGUAACACGUGGAUAACCUACCUAUAAGACUGGGAUAACUUCGGGAAACCGGAGCUAAUACCGGAUAAUAUUUUGAACCGCAUGGUUCAAAAGUGAAAGACGGUCCUGCUGUCACUUAUAGAUGGAUCCGCGCUGCAUUAGCUAGUUGGUAAGGUAACGGCUUACCAAGGCAACGAUGCAUAGCCGACCUGAGAGGGUGAUCGGCCACACUGGAACUGAGACACGGUCCAGACUCCUACGGGAGGCAGCAGUAGGGAAUCUUCCGCAAUGGGCGAAAGCCUGACGGAGCAACGCCGCGUGAGUGAUGAAGAUCUUCGGAUCGUAAAACUCUGUUAUUAGGGAAGAACAUAUGUGUAAGUAACUGUGCACAUCUUGACGGUACCUAAUCAGAAAGCCACGGCUAACUACGUG